rnacentral:lncRNA from 1 species
AUAGGGGGUCCCCGCUACACGUGAACCAUUAACAUUUACAACCUGAUUCCAGGGCCGUCCCCAUACCCCGUCCAGUAUGGACGCCAAAACCAUGAACCUCAAUACCCCGUCCGGUAUGAGGGUGAAACGGGAUGUCCCCAUACCCCGUCCGGUAUGGGCGCAAAAAUACAUGAGGUCUCCAUAUCCCGUCCGGUAUGAGAGACCACGUUCCCGGUAGGGUUCCCUACGGACCCGGUCCGUCCACCAUCUCCCAGGAUAUCUAGUCAGGCUGUCCACAUUAUCCACUCAUCAAUUCACAUAACCUUUUUACCUUUUUCCUUAAUCUCAAUCAUCCAAUCAUACAAAACAUGUAAACCAGUAAUUAACACCAAAUAAGACAAUACAG